UUGAAUUCCAAUUGGGUGAGAUUGCUGCUGGCUCUCGGGCAUGUGCACAUCUCAUUCAUUUACCUCUCACCUCUGUGCACUUUUCACAGGACAGCUGGUGGCUGUGGGCUUCAUUGACCAUGGCUGCAGGUUGCCUUGUGUGCUUUAAAAACUCAAAAAUAAGUUUAGAAUGUUUAUUGUGUAUCCACACAUUUAAAUA
rnacentral:misc_RNA from 1 species